rnacentral:rRNA from 2 species
AAAUUGAAGAGUUUGAUCAUGGCUCAGAUUGAACGCUGGCGGCAGGCCUAACACAUGCAAGUCGAGCGGCAGCGGGAAAGUAGCUUGCUACUUUUGCCGGCGAGCGGCGGACGGGUGAGUAAUGCCUGGGGAUCUGCCCAGUCGAGGGGGAUAACUACUGGAAACGGUAGCUAAUACCGCAUACGCCCUACGGGGGAAAGCAGGGGACCUUCGGGCCUUGCGCGAUUGGAUGA